rnacentral:rRNA from 1 species
CCUACGGGCUGCAGCAGUGGGGAAUAUUGGACAAUGGGCGAAAGCCUGAUCCAGCCAUGCCGCGUGUGUGAAGAAGGCCUUCGGGUUGUAAAGCACUUUCAGUGGGGAAGAAAGCCUUGGGGCUAAUACCCUCGAGGAAGGACAUCACCCACAGAAGAAGCACCGGCUAACUCCGUGCCAGCAGCCGCGGUAAUACGGAGGGUGCGAGCAGUUAAUCGGAAUUACUGGGCGUAAAGCGCGCGUAGGCGGUCUGAUAAGCCGGUUGUGAAAGCCCCGGGCUCAACCUGGGAACGGCAUCCGGAACUGUCAGGCUAGAGUGCAGGAGAGGAAGGUAGAAUUCCCGGUGUAGCGGUGAAAUGCGUAGAGAUCGGGAGGAAUACCAGUGGCGAAGGCGGCCUUCUGGACUGACACUGACGCUGAGGUGCGAAAGCGUGGGUAGCAAACAGGAUUAGAUACCCUAGUAGUC